UAUCUCUCCGUACGAGGAAGGAUGAGAAGCUUCGACUAAGGUUCGAUUCGAGCGAAAGCGAGAGAACGUUGCCAACGGCAACGGCCCGAAGGGCGAAGCGCGCAGCGCUGAGUCAUCCUUCCCCCACCACCA
rnacentral:sRNA from 17 species